rnacentral:rRNA from 1 species
ACGGCGAAUGGUUCAUCAAGUCUUCAAAAAAGAAUAUAUACGAUUCGAUUGCAAAUACUAACGGAUGCGAUCAUACCAGCACUAAUGCACCGGAUCCCAUCAGAACUCCGCAGUUAAGCGUGCUUGGGCGAGAGUAGUAAUAGGAUGGGUGACCUCCCGGGAAGUCCUCGUGUUGCAUCCCUCUUUUAUGUUUAACUUUUUUUUUU